rnacentral:rRNA from 1 species
AUUGAACGCUGGCGGCAGGCCUAACACAUGCAAGUCGAGCGGAUGAAGGGAGCUUGCUCCUGGAUUCAGCGGCGGACGGGCGAGUAAUGCCUAGGAAUCUGCCUGGUAGUGGGGGAUAACGUCCGGAAACGGGCGCUAAUAUCGCAUACGUUCUGAGGGAGAAAGAGGGGGUUCUUCGGACAUCACGCCAUUAGAUUAGCCCAGGUGGGAUUAGCUAGUUGGUGGGGUAAAGGCCUACCAAGGCGAGGAUCCGUAACUGGUCGGAUAGGAUGACCAGUCAAACUGGAACGAGACAACGCCCCAAACUCCUAGGGAAGCCGGCGGAGGGGAAUAUUGGAAAAUGGGGGAAGGCUUAAUCCAGCCAGCCCGGGGGUGGGAGGAGGGUCUUCGAUUUUUAAAGUAUGUUAAGUUGGAAGAAAGGGCAGUAAGUUAAUACCUUGCUGUUUUGACGUUACCAACAGAGUAAGCGCCGGCUAACUUCGUG